AUUUGUCAAGUAUUACAUUGUAUAAUUGACUUCCAAUCAAAAGGUCUGAAAAUAUUUCAGGACAAAUA
rnacentral:tRNA from 1 species